UACGGAGGGUGCGAGCGUUGUCCGGAAUCAUUGGGCGUAAAGGGCGCGUAGGUGGCCACUUCAAGCGUGCGGUGAAAGUCGGGGGCUCAACCCCUGAUCGGCCGUGCGAACUGGGGGGCUGGAGCACUGUAGAGGCAGGCGGAAUUCCGGGUGUAGCGGUGGAAUGCGUAGAGAUCCGGAAGAACACCGGUGGCGAAGGCGGGUCUCUGGGCCGUUACUGACGCUGAGGAGCGAAAGCGUGGGGAGCGAACAGG
rnacentral:rRNA from 1 species